GUGUCAGCAGCCGCGGUAAUACGGAGGUCCCAAGCGUUGUUCGGAAUUACUGGGCGUAAAGGGAGCGCAGGCGGACGGGUCAGUCUGAAGUGGAAAUCCGGGGCUCAACCUCGGACUUGCUUCGGAUACUGCCCGUCUUGAGUUCGUGAGAGGAUGAUGGAAUUCAGGGUGUAGCGGUGAAAUGCUCAGAUAUCCUGAGGAACACCUGUGGCGAAAGCGGUCAUCUGGCGCGAAACUGACGCUGAGGCUCGAAAGCGUGGGGAGCAAACGGGAUUAGAUACCCCAGUAGUCC
rnacentral:rRNA from 1 species